AGCCCGGUCGUCUAGUGGCCAAGGAUACCAGGCUCUGGACCUGGUGACGAGGGUUCGAAUCCUUCCCGGGCUACCA
rnacentral:tRNA from 1 species